CCCUUAGAUGUUCUGGGCCGCACGCGCGCUACAAUGAUGAAUUCAACGAGUUUAUAACCUUGGUUGAAAAGCCUGGGUAAUCUUUUGAACUUUCGUCGUGAUGGGGCUAGACCCUUGCAAUUAUUGGUCUCCAACGAGGAAUUCCUAGUAAACGCAAGUCAUCAGCUUGCAUUGAUUACGUCCCUGCCCUUUGUACACGCCGCCCGUCGCACCUACCGAUUGAAUGGUCCGGUGAAAUCUUCGGAUUGAGACUUUGAUUUCUUCACGGAAAACGCUGUUUUAAAAAGUUGAUUAAACCUUACCAUUUAGAGGAAGGUGAAGUCGUAACA
rnacentral:rRNA from 1 species